rfam:Balearica pavonina gibbericeps contig84742, whole genome shotgun sequence.
UGCCUGGCUCCCUCUGGAAGACUAGUGAUUUUGUUGUUGUAUGGCUCAUCCCACCACAACAAGUCACAGUCUGCCCUAGGGUGCAGUGGCC